rnacentral:rRNA from 1 species
UACGAGGGGUCCAAGCGUUGUUCGGAAUCAUUGGGCGUAAAGCGGGUGUAGGUGGCUUUGUAAGUCAGGAGUGAAAGCCCUAGGCUCAACCUAGGAAGUGCUUUUGAUACUGCAAAGCUUGAAUGUGGGAGAGGAUCGUGGAAUUCCAGGUGUAGUGGUGAAAUACGUAGAUAUCUGGAGGAACACCGGUGGCGAAGGCAGAUCUCUGGGCCGUAACUGACGCUGAGGAGCGAAAGCAUGGGGAGCGAACAGG